rnacentral:rRNA from 1 species
CCUACGUGUGGCAGCAGUAGGGAAUCUUUCACAAUGGGCGAAAGCCUGAUGGAGCAACGCCGCGUGCAGGAUGAAGGCCUUCGGGUUGUAAACUGCUUUUAUAAGCGAGAAAUAUGAUGGUAACUUAUGAAUAAGGAUCGGCUAACUACGUGCCAGCAGCCGCGGUAAUACGGAUGGGGCAAGCGUUAUCCGGAUUUACUGGGGGUAAGGGGAGUGUAGACGGCAGGGCAAGUCUGGAGUGAAAUGCCGGGGCCCAACCCCGGAACUGCUCUGGAAACUGUGAAGCUGGGGUGCAGGAGAGGUAAGCGGAAGUCCUGGUGUAGCGGUGAAAUGCGUAGAUAUUAGGAGGAACACCAGUGGCGAAGGCGGCUUACUGGACUGUAACUGACGUUGAGGCUCGAAGGCGUGGGGAGCAAACAGGAUUAGAUACCCGGGUAGUC